UGCUUGCCAUCUAGCUAAACUUUUUCACAUCCAGUUUCUUUUUUGUGAUCACUUGCACAGCGUAGACCUUGAUGUCAAGGCAGGUGAAUGGAGGAGGCAUUGUUUACCUCAUAUGUUCUCAAUUCAGAUGCAUGUGUAGUCCCACUACGGAAAUGGGCCAAGAACAAAAUGCUCUUUAACAUUCAUAUCUUAACCACAUGUGUACCGUAUAGGGGUCUGGAGCCACGCGCUAACUUGAGCGUAUUCACUCGCGAACAAUGCAUUCUCAUCAGGCGACUCGCAUCACGAGCGGACUGUGGUCUCUGUCGGAAUGCCAUGUAGCUCUGCACAACACUAAGGUCACUUCUGAAGUGUCAAUGUGAUUCAGUCCCUCCCAAAGCUAGUACUGUAAAAUCUUUCAGAGCGUCGAGCGAAUGAGUGCCAGCUCCAGAACCGCUUUACACGGGCAUGAGACCCCCUCCAGGAACCUUGACCCCCUCCGAGUGUUGGGGUUUUAUGAGUAGGAAGAUCCUUUUCGUUUUGGUUAGUGGUGUUGGCUUUUCACCUUCUCCUCUAUGUUGGUUGUCAGUGGCUUUAAGUGGUUAGUGCAUUAUUGUUCUGUUAUUUUUCACCUUCCCUGAGGGAGCACCUAGACCUGUUUUUGUCCUGGUUAGUCAGUUUGCCUUUGGUAGGGUAUAGCAAUGGAGUGUUUUUUUUUUUUUUUUUGUUUUAUUUAACCUGUGAACAGAUUGUUAUUUCUUUAUCUGUACUGAUAGGAGUCAAAAGAGCUUCAGCCAAGAGCUAAAGAGUUGGGGGAUUUUAAACAGGAUCUAAGGGCCUCUUUAAGUGAAGCUAGGGAGCGGUUGACUUGUCCUACGAUGGCCCUGCCAACAAACAACCUCUCUAUUGCGCCGUUAAUAUCGAUUGGGCUGUGCAGUCAAUCUCCUUGAGGGGAAAUGCCUAUUCUGACCAUUCAAAAAAAAUCUGUGUACAUUGUCUCUCUUUGCUUUGAGCUUUAGCAAUAAAAGUACAACAAAAAAUAAAACAAUAAUAAAAAAGUUCAAAGCAGCUAACUGCUGAAACAUGUUGUUAUGUAUAAGUUUAUGUACAAUUGUCAUAUCAAAUGUAUUUGAGAAUUACAUUAAAAUUUUUAACAGUACAAAGUUUUUGCCUCUUGUUUCUCUAUCUGAAAUUAAAUUCUGCAUCUCCUGCUUGGAUUGCCUUAUCUUUCUAGUAAAAUGUGGUAGUGGCCACUAGCUGGCACUCUUGGGUUAGUAAGUGGAUGCAGGUGAAGUGAGCAUUAUAUUUUCCAGACAAGCUGUGCACGUUUUUCAGAAUUGACCCGUUUGUAGCAGAUUUCAAAGAGUAAGUGUUCUGAAUAUCUCUAGAAAUCAUUUGAUUCGUGUGAUUUUGGUGAAUAUUAUACAAUUUGACAACAGUAGGGAGGCCAGGCACUUGGCUUAUGGGGAGUGUUACACAACAUGUCCUGGUUUUCCAAAACUCAUCUAACUUUAUUUUAUCACUUCUCUGCCAUUAUGCCUAAAAAACACAUGCUUAGUAAUGGACUAAAAGUAGUGUUAAACAGACACCUCAACAAACAUGCUGUUUGAUUCAACCUCUUUCGGUUUUCUCAGCAUCUUCAGACAUUUGGUAAAUUAAUGCUAUUUGGUUUUGCAGAGGCAAUAUAAGACAUCUUUGUUGAAAUGUUAUCAGCAGAUAAGAAUCAAUGACACAUUUUUACAAAAAUAGUGUCAUGUUUUAAUAAAAUACAUUUUGCUAAAAUAGUUUGCCUGACUAAACACAAUUUGAACUCAAGAUGGCACUGAUGUUUUAGUUGCUUGCUGCCUUGUUUUGCCUAACAUUCUUAGGUAAUCCCAUAUUUUCAUACUACCUGCUGAAAUAGUUUGAAAAGACCUUAGAAUAUUACUUUUGUCACACGCAGUGUGCUAUAACGCGGUUGUGAAGUGGUCCCCUGAGUUUGUAAAGUUUCUGCCCCAAUAUAAGAGCACUGAUCAAGAGCACGUGGCUCUUUGAGGAACCAAAGCCC
ensembl:lncRNA